rnacentral:rRNA from 1 species
GUGGGGUAACGGCCCACCAAGGCUUCGACGGGUAGCCGGCCUGAGAGGGUGACCGGCCACACUGGGACUGAGACACGGCCCAGACUCCUACGGGAGGCAGCAGUGGGGAAUAUUGGACAAUGGGCGAAAGCCUGAUCCAGCAACGCCGCGUGAGGGAUGACGGCCUUCGGGUUGUAAACCUCUUUCAGCAGGGACGAAGCGCAAGUGACGGUACCUGCAGAAGAAGCACCGGCCAACUACGUGCCAGCAGCCGCGGUAAUACGUAGGGUGCGAGCGUUGUCCGGAAUUAUUGGGCGUAAAGGGCUCGUAGGCGGUCUGUUGCGUCGGGAGUGAAAACUCAGGGCUUAACCCUGAGCCUGCUUCCGAUACGGGCAGACUAGAGGUAUGCAGGGGAGAACGGAAUUCCUGGUGUAGCGGUGAAAUGCGCAGAUAUCAGGAGGAACACCGGUGGCGAAGGCGGUUCUCUGGGCAUUACCUGACGCUGAGGAGCGAAAGUGUGGGGAGCGAACAGGAUUAGAUACCCUGGUAGUCCACACCGUAAACGUUGGGCGCUAGGUGUGGGACUCAUUCCACGAGUUCCGUGCCGCAGCUAACGCAUUAAGCG